UCUGUUUACCGCGACGAUAGAAAAGCUCCCUCUUCUGAAAUACAUUGAGGACGCUUGCCGGCAGAAUCGAACCAAUAACUAAUUUGCCACUACUGAGUAA